AUUAAUAAUAUUGUUUUAUUAUAAAUUAUUUUUAAUAUGUUAAUUAAAUAAAUUUAUGUUAUUGUAAAAUUAAUUGAUAUAAUUUUAUUAACUAUAGUGUAAAGUACUGUAAUGGAAGUUUUAAGGAAAUUAUUAUAAUGGGAUAAAGGUAAUUUAAUUUAUUGUAUCUUGUGUAUCAGAGUAUAUCAAAAUAAAUAAUAAAUUUUAUUUUUUUCGAAUUUAAAAGAUUUAAUUUAGUAAUUUAGUUGCUGUGUCAUAAAUAUUAAAAAUACUAUAUUGGUAAUGAGAUGUUAUACGUUUUUAAGGAUAUCUAGUUUUUUAAUAAAUGAAUUUAAUUCAGGAAAUAUAAAUUAUUUAAUAUUUAAGUGUUAAAAUAUUUAAUAUUUCUAAUUUUAGAAGGGAUCAACUUUUUAAAAAAUAAUUAUAAUAAAUAUGAUUUCAAGGAUUUUAUGAAUUUAGAGUUUGUUAUUAAUUUGAGGAUGUUAAAAUUUAAUUCUUAUUUUUUGUUGAUUUUUAAUUGUUAUUUAAUUUAUUUAUUAAAAUGUUAAAUUGAAUUUAUAAGUUUUAGAAAGAAUGAUUUAAUUAGUAAAGAAUAUUUAUGUUAAAUAAUUUAUUAUUGUAUUUGGUAAAUAUUUAUAAAGAAUUAGGCAAAUAUUUUGCUCACCUGUUUAUUAAAAACAUGGUUUCUUGAUUAUAUUUAAGAAAUCUAGUCUGCCCACUGAAUACUUAUUAUUUAAAGGGCCGCGGUAUUUUGACUGUGCGAAGGUAGCAUAAUCAUUAGUCUUUUAAUUGAAGGCUUGCAUGAAUGGCUGGAUGAGGUAAAUACUGUUUUAUAUUUAUUUUAGUUGAAUUUAGAUUUUAAGUAAAAAUACUUAAAUGAUAUUAAGGGACGAGAAGACCCUAUAGAGUUUAAUAAGUGUAAUAAUUAAUUAAGUUAAAAGUUAAUUUAUAGUUAAUAUAAAACUUAUUUAAUUGGGGAGAUUUAAAGAUAAAAAUAACUCUUUUUAAAUUUUAAUAUUAUAUUUAGUUUUAUGAUCCAUGAAUAAUGAUUAAAAGAUUAAAUUACCUUAGGGAUAACAGCAUAAUUUCUUUUAAGAGUUCAUAUCGAAAGAGAAGAUUGUGACCUCGAUGUUGGAUUAAGAUUAGUCUAAGGGUGUAGAUGUUUAUAGAUUAGGUCUGUUCGACCUUUAAAAUCUUACAUGAUCUGAGUUUAAACCGGCGUAAGCCAGGUUGGUUUCUAUCUUUAAUUUUAUUAAAUAUUUUAGUACGAGAGGACCAGAUAUUUAAAAUAAUUUUUCAAUAAUGAUUUCUAUUAAUAUAAA
rnacentral:rRNA from 1 species